CUCCAGCGAAAAGUAUUACCUAACGUGACGAUAAUUAUUUCAUCAAUAUUUCCCUUCACAACAUGAUUUAAGAGUUACAUAAGAUAAAAAAGGACAUUUUUACUUACGGGUUUAGUUCCGUCCAUCAUGAUUGGUUCGGCCAAAUCUCUGGGACUUACAUUCAUUUGUUCGGAAAUCAUACUCAGGAAGGUAUAUGAGCCACGGAAAUGUUCAUUGGUGUGCCAGUUAGAUCUAAAAAUUAACGAUCUUCUUAACAACAAAUAUAGUCCAUCAAAUACGUCAAUGUCCGAUAAAGUCUCCAUGUACCUCGCAUUUUUUCCGACAAUCCAAGCACAAAGAAGA